AUUGAACGCUGGCGGCAGGCCUAACACAUGCAAGUCGAGCGGAUGAAGGGAGCUUGCUCCUGGUUUCAGCGGCGGACGGGUGAGUAAUGCCUAGGAAUCUGCCUGGUAGUGGGGGAUAACGUCCGGAAACGGGCGCUAAUACCGCCUACGUCCUGAGGGAGAAAGUGGGGGAUCUUCGGAACUUACGCUCUCCGAUGAGUCUAGGUCGGAUUAGCUAGUUGGUUGGGUAAAGGCCUACCUAGGCAAGCAGUCGUAACUUGACUGAGAGGGUGAUAAGUCACAUGGGAAGUGAGACAGGGUCCAGAGUCCUACGGGAGGCAGCAGUGGGGAACAUGGGACAGUGGGCGAGAGCAUGAUCCAGCGAGGCCGAGUGUGAUGAGAAGGUCCUGGGAGUGGAAAGAACGUUAAGUGGGGAGGAAGGGCAGUAAGUUAAUACCUUGCGGUAGUGACGUUAACAAGAGAAGAAGCACCGGCUAACUACGUG
rnacentral:rRNA from 1 species